CCUAGGUAGAAUACCAAUGACAGAUGGAAGUCCAAGUCUACCUCAGUGAACCAAUGAGUUCAUUGGUUUUACUUACAGGAGAGCGGAUGAGGAGUUACUUACAAAUGGGUGGGUGACCUCCCCAAACAGCUGCAUCACAGCAAACGUCCCAGGCCCAGCAUGGAAGAUAACCUCACGAAACUGCAAAGACUGAGUCUCUCCUUCAGAAGUUUCUGUGAAGCUAUUAUGCAGCCAGAUUUACCGGUACCUGCUCCUGUCCGCCAAGGACCCCUGGCAAUGUGCCCUGCCACCUGCUGAGUGAAGGCCACCUCAGCUAAUAUGAUUCAAGUCCACACUCAUG